CUAGCAUAUCAAUAAGCGGAGGAAAAGAAACUAACAAGGAUUCCCUAGUAACUGCGAGUGAAGCGGGAAAAGCUCAAAUUUAAAAUCUGGCGGUCUCUGGCCGUCCGAGUUGUAAUCUAGAGAAGUAAUGCCCGUGCUGGACCGUGUAUAAGUCUCCUGGGAUGGGGCGUCAUAGAGGGUGAGAAUCCCGUCUUUGACACGGACUACCAGUGCAUUGUGGUAUGCUCUCAAAGAGUCGAGUUGUUUGGGAAUGCAGCUCAAAAUGGGUGGUAAAUUCCAUCUAAAGCUAAAUAUUGGCGAGAGACCGAUAGCGAACAAGUACCGUGAGGGAAAGAUGAAAAGAACUUUGGAAAGAGAGUUAAACAGUACGUGAAAUUGCUGAAAGGGAAACGCUUGAAGUCAGUCGCGUUGGCCGGGGAUCAGCCUUGCUUUUGCAUGGUGUACUUUCUGGUUGACGGGUCAGCAUCAAUUUUGACCGCUGGAAAAAGACCUGGGGAAUGUGGCAGCUUCGGCUGUGUUAUAGCCCCUAGUCGCAUACAGUGGUUGGGAUUGAGGAACUCAGCACGCCGCAAGGCCGGGUUUCGACCACGUUCGUGCUUAGGAUGCUGGCAUAAUGGCUUUAAGCGACCCGUCUUGAAACACGGACCAAGGAGUCUAACAUGCCUGCGAGUAUUUGGGUGGAAAACCCAAGUGCGUAAUGAAAGUGAAAGUUGAGAUCCCUGUCGUGGGGAGCAUCGACGCCCGGACCAGAACUUUUGGGACGGAUCCGCGGUGGAGCAUGUAUGUUGGGACCCGAAAGAUGGUGAACUAUGCCUGAAUAGGGUGAAGCCAGAGGAAACUCUGGUGGAGGCUCGUAGCGAUUCUGACGUGCAAAUCGAUCGUCAAAUUUGGGUAUAGGGGCGAAAGACUAAUCGAACCAUCUAGUAGCUGGUUCCUGCGAAUUUCU
rnacentral:rRNA from 1 species